CAUUUAUUUUUAUCCCACACAUUAUAUACCGUAUAGCGGGAAAUUAUCGCGGGUGCACAUUUUCGCUAUUUGGCUCCAGAGCUCUAAGCAGAAAUGUUUGUCUAGUAUUAUGUUUAAUGCCAGGAAACCACACCCACCAAUAGCUUUGCAUGUGAAAUACCGGUGCGUGGGAGUUUAUCCCAUUUUCGUGUCUUCUUUUUGCCCUCGAAAAGCUCACCUCACGAAAUUUCCCGCUGUACGGUAUACGAUUGUACAAUGUACGAUUCUCUCAAUUUGUACAAAACUGAUAUACAUGUACAUUUACAUGCAUUCUUAGUGUGUCGUGGAUUAUGUAUGAUAUUUACCAGUCCCUAUAUUUAAAGUCGCCUCUGAUUUAUAGGUGAGUGCAUUGUUAGUUGUUACUAACUUUGUUCUACAUAGCUUGGCACACAUGUACUUUGAUGGGUGAUUAUAUACACUAGUUUGACAUUAUUUUGUCUUCGGACAUUCACCAUAACUGUGAAAGGUACAUAGUAUGAAGAUAGAUAUGCACUGUCUAGGCAAUAAUUAUUAGUUAUUGUUAUAAUGCUAGAAAAACAUAGUGAUACCUUUGUUGUUUAUAAUGGAGAUAUUGGGCCAGUGUAAAUACCGUUUUCAAUACAGCGCUCCACUCCAAUUGAGCACCAAGCGGAAUUAUUUUUUGCUGGCACUUAGAAAGAAAUUAUAGCUUGGCUUGAAAUCGAGGCUAUAGCAAGGGCGUAUGAAGAGAAGAGGGCAUGCAACUACAAUCAUUACAUGCAACUACAAUUUACAAAUAGGCGGGGUUUAUGUCUAAAAAUAGUAAACAAUAAUUAUUUAUUGCACGUGUAUACUUUAUACUCUAGACUAGCCUUUUUUUACUCUAUUCCCUAGUGGGAGGUUGGGCUAAAUAUAGCAUAUCCUGCUGACUCAUCAAUGAUACGACGCAUACACAAUAUACUUUGUGAGUUGCAUGCCCUCUUUUCAUACGCCUUUGGCUAUACACACGUAAUCAGGUGGCCUUGUGGAACAGCUACUAUUUUCUAUUCCAAUGCUAUAUAAUUAUAAGCGCCAACUAUAAUUAUGUAAAAUUAUUGUUCUAUUUGCGCGUCACUGGAAAAUCCUCAUUAAUUGUUUGUGGCCCUGUAGUUAGAAGUAACUGUAACUUGUAUGUAUGAUCAAAUGUGCAUGGUUUGAUCUACAUGUAUUGUGCAUUGUACGUACUUCACCAGAAUGGACAACUGAAACACACACACAAUAAUAUUUACACCUUAAUGAUAAAGGAAUACUAUAUUUGCUAUCAAAGGUAUAUACCCCCGGUAGUGAUGUCAAUAAAAAUGUGUACUAUACCUAUCAUAUAGUUCAAAGAGGCUACAAGACAGACUUUCAUCAUGCAUAUCAUGUUACAUGUACUACACUGCGUUUACGCAACCACACUCCAGCACUUCACUAUUAAUUUUUAGUGCAUUUGCAUGACUGUGAAUAAUGUUUUACUUUACUGAGUGCUGCCUUAAAACAUUGUUAGGGAGGUUGGAGGUGUCCAUGCUAUAAUGUACGUACUCAAAUGGGAAUGCAUGACUGUACUUUGUUGACACAAGGGUAUGAGUACUAAAAGCUAACAUUCUUGGUUAAUGACUGCAUGUUUUGUUUCCACGUCAGCACAAUGCACAAUGCAAUACAAGUGCAGCACAGGAAUGACCUCAUAUAAAAGGUUGUAACGAUUGAUUUGAUGCUCUAGUUACAUACGCUUCGACUGCAUCCCAUUGAAUAGUGUAUAGGAGUUAAUGUUUAUAUAGUUAUGACCACAUAAAUCUACUGUUUGUUUUUCCAUUAGCCACUUUCAAAAUCAAUUCCUUUUUAGUCACAGUUUAAGCUGUUGUGAUGUUUUUAGUUUGACUAUUUAUAGUUGUCCAAACUGAACAUGAAUGUUUAUAUAAUGAGUGCAGUUUUUCUAUAUAAUUAUGGUUGUGGUUGGGGUUGUCAUGGAAGCGUUCCAGUAAACUUGUCGGCUUAAAAUGCAUUCUCGUAUUGAUCGAUACAUGUACAGAUCUAGAUACAGGAUUGGUAAAGAUCACACUAUGAAUAGGACAGUUUCAGUAUUAAUGUCAGGUUUCUAUGUGUCAGUAAAUAGCUUAGUACAUGUAGAUCUACUACACUCAGGAUCUGAUGGACAAGAGUUUGACAUCAUUCACUUUCUUUUUUAUGAUAGGGUCAUUCAUCAUAGCUGUAAAAGCUCAGUUCACAAUACAGCCAGAGUCAGUGGAGAGCACCGAGGGACUGGAGGCAGUGUUCUGGUGUCAGUAUCAAGUGGAGGGAUUGACUGUUACUUAUGAUUGGGCAAUAAACAAUUCCUUUGUUGGAGCAGAUUCAGAAACUGUUAGAGCUCGUCGACCUUCAUCUCCUGGUGGUACAACUACACUGACAAUCUUGACCACUCCACAGCACGACAACUCUGUUGUUCAGUGUCUGGCUGUAAUCAGAAAUGGCAUUUUUAUUGUAAGGUCUGAAGUAUCGAUCACAGCAACUCUAACUGUUCAUGGAACGGUCAUCACUAAUGUUCUGACUGCUCCAAACACCAUUACCGUGACAUGGAAUGCUCUACCUCUCACUGAGUAUUGUGUGGACAUCAACAGUACAACUCUGGAAUCAACUCAAACAGUUGUUUUUGAUUCUGUGUGUGGACUGGUUAAUGGAGUACAUCUUCACGUACUCCAACCCCAUCAGUGUGUGUGACAGAUUCUCCUUCACUGUGACUCCUACUGAAGGAGAGAUGAGGGGAACAACCAGUGAACCAGUUACUGGGUUCUUUACGAGGGCAGAAGGUAGUAUUGAAGAACGACAUCGUGUUCGUGAAAGUGAGGAGAAUAAGUCAGUAGGGUUUAAAGCCAUUAUACCAAGUUGCACAAGGUUCACUCGGUAUCAUGUGGACUCUGACCUAUUGACUACCCCAAUCAACCUUCCAAUCACGGACCCUCUUCUGUUUGAUGGCUCACUCAGUUUCUCCCUCCCCACUGACAAGAUGACAGAAUACAGUGUCACACUGACUGAUGAGAAUGGAAUAGACCUCGUGUUUGAAAAUAUUCCAAUCAGUACAUUUGAUGUUCAAGACCUCCUAGUGUCUGAAUGUCCUGGUGGUGGUGAUCUUUGUUUGAACAUUGUGUAUGUUGAAGGUACUGUCUCUCCCGGAGCUCUUGUCUGUGUGAUACGUAUCAUUGAUGGAUAGUUGAAUUUUGCUAGUAUGA